rnacentral:rRNA from 1 species
CACGUAGGCGGAUUUGUAAGUCAGGGGUGAAAUCCCGGGGCUCAACCUCGGAACUGCCUUUGAUACUGCGAAUCUCGAGUCCGAUAGAGGUGGGUGGGAAUUCCUAGUGUAGAGGUGAAGUUCGUAGAUAUUAGGAAGAACACCGGUGGCGAAGGCGGCCCACUGGAUCGGUACUGACGCUGAGGUGCGAAAGCGUGGGGAGCAAACA